rnacentral:rRNA from 1 species
CUGUUGGGUAGGGGAGCGUUCUGUAAGCGGAUGAAGGUGGCUCGAGAGGGCUGCUGGACGUAUCAGAAGUGCGAAUGCUGACAUAAGUAACGAUAAAACGGGUGAAAAACCCGUUCGCCGGAAGACCAAGGGUUCCUGUCCAACGUUAAUCGGGGCAGGGUGAGUCGGCUCCUAAGGCGAGGCUGAAAAGCGUAGUCGAUGGGAAACAGGUUAAUAUUCCUGUACUUGGUAAAGCUGCGAUGUGGGGACGGAGUAGGUUAGGUUAUCGCACUGUUGGAUAUGUGCGUUUAAGUUGGUAGGUGGGAAGUUUAGGCAAAUCCGGGCUUCCUUAACACAGAGAGAUGAUGACGAGGCUCUACGGAGCUGAAGUAACUGAUACCACACUUCCAGGAAAAGCCACUAAGCGAAAGGCUUUACUAAACCGUACUGAAAACCGACACAGGUGGUCAGGUAGAGAAUACUCAGGCGCUUGAGAGAACUCGGGUGAAGGAACUAGGCAAAAAUAGCACCGUAACUUCGGGAGAAGGUGCGCCGGCGUAGAUUGUAAGGGCUAGCCCCUGAAGGUUGAACCGGUCGAAGAUACCAGCUGGCUGCAACUGUUUAUUAAAAACACAGCACUCUGCAAACACGAAAGUGGACGUAUAGGGUGUGAUGCCUGCCCGGUGCUGGAAGGUUAAUUGAUGGUGUAAUCGCAAGAGAAGCACCUGAUCGAAGCCCCAGUAAACGGCGGCCGUAACUAUAACGGUCCUAAGGUAGCGAAAUUCCUUGUCGGGUAAGUUCCGACCUGCACGAAUGGCAUAAUGAUGGCCAGGCUGUCUCCACCCGAGACUCAGUGAAAUUGAAAUCGCCGUGAAGAUGCGGUGUACCCGCGGCUAGACGGAAAGACCCCGUGAACCUUUACUAUAGCUUGACACUGAACAUUGAAUUUUGAUGUGUAGGAUAGGUGGGAGCCUUUGAAGCAGUGACGCCAGUCAUUGUGGAGGCGACCUUGAAAUACCACCCUUUAACGUUUGAUGUUCUAACGAAGAUGACGAAACGUGGUCUCGGACAGUGUCUGGUGGGUAGUUUGACUGGGGCGGUCUCCUCCCAAAGCGUAACGGAGGAGCACGAAGGUUUGCUAAUCACGGUCGGACAUCGUGAGGUUAGUGCAAUGGUAUAAGCAAGCUUAACUGCGAGACAGACAAGUCGAGCAGGUACGAAAGUAGGUCAUAGUGAUCCGGUGGUUCUGAAUGGAAGGGCCAUCGCUCAACGGAUAAAAGGUACUCCGGGGAUAACAGGCUGAUACCGCCCAAGAGUUCAUAUCGACGGCGGUGUUUGGCACCUCGAUGUCGGCUCAUCACAUCCUGGGGCUGAAGUAGGUCCCAAGGGUAUGGCUGUUCGCCAUUUAAAGUGGUACGCGAGCUGGGUUUAGAACGUCGUGAGACAGUUCGGUCCCUAUCUGCCGUGGGCGUAGGAGAAUUGGUUGGGGCUGCUCCUAGUACGAGAGGACCGGAGUGGACGCACCACUGGUGUUCCGGUUGUGUCGCCAGACGCAUUGCCGGGUAGCUAAGUGCGGAAGAGAUAAGUGCUGAAAGCAUCUAAGCACGAAACUUGCCAAGAGAUGAGUUCUCCCAAUCAAAGAGAUUGUAAGGGUUGUUGUAGACUACGACGUAGAUAGGUCUGGUGUGUAAGUGUAGUGAUACAUUGAGCUAACAGAUACUAAUUGCCCGAGAGGCUUAACUAU